rnacentral:lncRNA from 1 species
GAGAGCGAAAUUUUCUGAUGUAGACACUGCUUUGGGAGAGAUUGUGGUGGAGUCGUAGCGUUUGAGAUAUGGAUCAUCGAUUUCUUUGGCCAAUUUUUUAUAUUGGUUUUGGGUUUUGUCAAAUAACAGGUAUAAAGGUGUGAUUUGUAUAUGCUAGUUUUGACUAAAAAUCAUUAAAAAGUUUGCUUCAAAUCCCUUUGUUAGUUUUUUCUUUUCAGAAUUGUGUGUAUUUCAAUAACAGUGAAUUUGAUUUAGUUUUUAUAAUUUGUUAAUUGAAUAACAAUGGAUUGCAAGUGAUUUGUAAUGACUUUAAUAAAUGUCAUAUUCAAUAACAUAAGAUUUGAGAAAAAAAUUAGAAAUCAUUAGUUAAAUAACAUGGGAUUUUAAAACAAAACCAAAACACUUUAAAUCCACAAUUCAAUACACCCCCUAAGUUCAUUUGGCCUUUUGACAACGACUUUAUACGAUAAGCAAAAUUUCUCCCAUAUUUCUUGAGAUAACUCAAAACAUGCAUAUUUACAUUUAAUAUCUCUUAAGAGUUUAGAAAAUUUAUCUACAACUCCUUUA